rnacentral:rRNA from 1 species
GACGAACGCUGGCGGCGUGCUUAACACAUGCAAGUCGAACGAUGAACCCGGAGCUUGCUCUGGGGGAUUAGUGGCGAACGGGUGAGUAACACGUGAGUAACCUGCCCUGGACUCUGGGAUAAGCGUUGGAAACGACGUCUAAUACCGGAUAGGACCUUGGAUCGCAUGAUCUGGGGUGGAAAGUUUUUUCGGUCUGGGAUGGACUCGCGGCCUAUCAGCUUGUUGGUGAGGUAAUGGCUCACCAAGGCGUCGACGGGUAGCCGGCCUGAGAGGGUGACCGGCCACACUGGGACUGAGACACGGCCCAGACACCUACGGGAGGCAGCAGUGGGGAAUAUUGCACAAUGGGCGAAAGCCUGAUGCAGCAACGCCGCGUGCGGGAUGACGGCCUUCGGGUUGUAAACCGCUUUUAGUAGGAAAGAAGGGCUUCGGCUUGACGGUACCUGCAGAAAAAGGACCGGCUAACUACGUG